rnacentral:rRNA from 1 species
UCAGUUAGUUGGUAGGGUAACGGCCUACCAAGGCGAAGACGGGUAGGGGGUGUGAGAGCACGGCCCCCCACACUGGGACUGAGACACGGCCCAGACUCCGACGGGAGGCAGCAGCGGGGAAUAUUGCGCAAUGGACGGAAGUCAGACGCAGCGACGCCGCGUGGGUGAAGAAGGCCUUCGGGUUGUAAAGCCCUCUUCUGUGGGAAGAGGAAGGACGGUACCAUAGGAAUAAGCGUCGGCUAACUACGUGCCAGCAGCCGCGGUAAGACGUAGGACGCGAGCGUUAUCCGGAUUUACUGGGCGUAAAGCGUGUGUAGGCGGCGUGACAAGUUGGGCGUGAAAGCCCCGUGCUCAACGCGGGGAGGCCGCACAAUACUGUCAGGCUAGAGGGCAUCAGAGGGGUGUGGAAUUCCCGGAGUAGCGGUAAAAUGCGCAGAUAUCGGGAGGAACACCGGUGGCGAAAGCGGCACCCUGGGGUGCACCUGACGCUGAGAGACGACAGCUAGGGGAGCGAACAGGAUUAGAGACCCUGGUAGUCCUAGCCGUAAACGAUGGAUGCUAGGUGUGGGAGUGAAGAACUUCUGUGCCGCAGCGAACGCGAUAAGCAUCCCGCCUGGGGAGUACGGCCGCAAGGUUAAAACUCAAACGAAUUGACGGGGACCCGCACAAGCAGCGGAGCGUGUGGUUUAAUUCGAUGCUACACGAAGAACCUUACCUGGGAUUGACAUAUGGGUGGUAGUGAGCCGAAAGGCAAGCGACCCUUCGGGGAGCCUAUACAGGUGCUGCAUGGCUGUCGUCAGCUCGUGCCGUGAGGUGUCGGGUUAAGUCCCGUAACGAGCGCAACCCCUGUCCUUAGUUACAAGUGUCUAAGGGGACUGCCGGCGGGAAGCCGGAGCAAGGUGGGGAUGACGUCAAGUCAGCAUGGCCCUUAUAUCCAGGGCGACACACACGCUACAAUGGUCGGUACAGAGGGCAGCGAAGCCGCGAGGUGGAGCGAAACCCAGAAAGCCGGUCGUAGUUCGGAUUGCAGGCUGCAACUCGCAUGCAUGAAGUUGGAGUUGCUAGUAACCGCAGGUCAGCCAUCCUGCGGUGAAUACGUUCCCGGGUCUUGUACACACCGCCCGUCACGUCAU